GGCCCUUCGGGGUACACGAGCGGCGAACGGGUGAGUAACACGUGAGCAACCUGCCCCUGACUCUGGGAUAAGCGGUGGAAACGCCGUCUAAUACCGGAUACGACCCGCCACCUCAUGGUGGAGGGUGGAAAGUUUUUCGGUCAGGGAUGGGCUCGCGGCCUAUCAGCUUGUUGGUGGGGUAACGGCCUACCAAGGCGAUUACGGGUAGCCGGCCUGAGAGGGCGACCGGCCACACUGGGACUGAGACACGGCCCAGACUCCUGCGGGAGGCAGCAGUGGGGAAUAUUGCGCAAUGGGCGAAAGCCUGACGCAGCGACGCCGCGUGGGGGAUGACGGCCUUCGGGUUGUAAACCUCUUUUACCACCAACGCAGGCUCGAAGUUCUCUUCGGGUUGACGGUAGGUGGGGAAUAAGGACCGGCUAACUACGUGCCAGCAGCCGCGGUAAUACGUAGGGUCCGAGCGUUGUCCGGAAUUAUUGGGCGUAAAGAGCUCGUAGGCGGCGUGUCACGUCUGCUGUGAAAGACCGGGGCUUAACUCCGGUUCUGCAGUGGAUACGGGCAUGCUAGAGGUAGGUAGGGGAGACUGGAAUUCCUGGUGUAGCGGUGAAAUGCGCAGAUAUCAGGAGGAACACCGGUGGCGAAGGCGGGUCUCUGGGCCUUACCUGACGCUGAGGAGCGAAAGCAUGGGGAGCGAACAGGAUUAGAUACCCUGGUAGUCCAUGCCGUAAACGUUGGGCGCUAGGUGUGGGGACUUUCCACGGUUUCCGCGCCGUAGCUAACGCAUUAAGCGCCCCGCCUGGGGAGUACGGCCGCAAGGCUAAAACUCAAAGGAAUU
rnacentral:rRNA from 1 species